AGUGGGAGGACUGAGGCCCAGCGGUGAACCUCUUACCUUCCUCCCUGAACAGCCCUGCUCUGCUGGUCCUCUGUGGGGACCAUGGAGGGGUCGUGGGGCCGUGGAGGCCACCACCCCUCUGCUGUCAGAAUUCUGGAGGGAGAGUAUGGCUUCUGUCCUCUUAGACUGAGCCAAGGGAAGAGGCCAGGGGGCCGUGUUCCAGCUGAAGCAAAGGCAAAUGUGGACCCAGCAAUCCUUGUCUUAGCGCUGCUGGGGGCCAUAUGGGCCAUAGGUUGGGAUGAGGGAUCAGGGCCCCAUCCCCUGCCCUCUGCAUCCAGUAGGGGCGCAGUGUCAGAAGGAGCACACCCGCAGAGGAGCAGAGCCAGGGAGGAGACCAGAACCCGUGCCAGAGGAGUAUGUGACUUGGAGUUCAGAAGACCCAGGGGGACCUGAGAACUGCCUUCGAGGAAGCAGAGGGAUUUGUUUUCUCGACUGCUUUGAGAGCCCCUCAGAAGGCAGGGAACCUGUCUUUGGCUGGAAGAAACCGGUGGCAACCUUGAGCAGAUCUGUUCUGACACACACAUUAUGUCCUUUAAUGCUCUCUAGCCCACGAGUGGCCUCUGGAUCCCAGCCUGGCCUCCCAGCUCUGACAGCACUGACUUUGAGGCUACAGAGGGAGCUCUUUGGAAUACAAAUACCUCUGGACCCUCCUGAUCCCAGCUGGUGCCCCAUUCUCAUGCUAAUACAGAGAGUUUGCCAGUAGCUCCUAGAAGAAUUCGCUGCUGUAGGAAAUCCACCCCAAGCCUUCCUCCUGGCCACCGGGACAGUGUCUCUGGGGUCCUUUCCAGCCUGGCCUCCUGGUACCCAGCACUGGGUUCCGGCCCCACACCCAGCAG